rnacentral:rRNA from 1 species
UCGGGAAUUUUGGGCAAUGGGCGAAAGCCUGACCCAGCAACGCCGCGUGAAGGAUGAAGUAUUUCGGUAUGUAAACUUCGUAAGAAUAGGAAGAAUAAAUGACGGUACUAUUUGUAAGGUCCGGCUAACUACGUGCCAGCAGCCGCGGUAAUACGUAGGGACCAAGCGUUGUUCGGAUUUACUGGGCGUAAAGGGCGCGUAGGCGGCAAUUCAAGUCAUCUGUGAAAUCUCCGGGCUUAACUCGGAACGGUCAGAUGAUACUGCUUUGCUAGAGUGCAGAAGGGGCAAUCGGAAUUCUUGGUGUAGCGGUGAAAUGCGUAGAUAUCAAGAGGAACACCUGAGGUGAAGACGGGUUGCUGGGCUGACACUGACGCUGAGGCGCGAAAGCCAGGGGAGCAAACGGGAUUAGAUACCCAAGUAGUCCCUGAGCGGGCUGGCAAGGCGCAU